rnacentral:rRNA from 1 species
GACGUAGGAUGCAAGCGUUGUCCGGAAUUAUUGGGCGUAAAGAGUUCGUAGGCGGUUGCCUUAGUCUGAUGUUAAAUACUGGAGCUCAACUCCGGCAUGGCAUUGGAAACUGGGCGGCUAGAGUGUGGUAGAGGUCUCGGGAAUUCCAGGUGUAGCGGUGAAAUGCGUAGAUAUCUGGAGGAACACCGGUGGCGAAAGCGCGAGACUGGGCCAUAACUGACGCUGAGGAACGAAAGCCAGGGGAGCGAAAGGG